rnacentral:rRNA from 1 species
ACUCCUACGGGAGGCAGCAGUGGGGAAUAUUGGACAAUGGGCGAAAGCCUGAUCCAGCAAUGCCGCGUGCAGGAUGAAGGCCUUCGGGUUGUAAACUGCUUUUGUACGGAACGAAAAAGCUUCUCCUAAUACGAGAGGCCCAUGACGGUACCGUAAGAAUAAGCACCGGCUAACUACGUGCCAGCAGCCGCGGUAAU